UGGGGAAUCUUGCGCAAUGGACGAAAGUCUGACGCAGCGACGCCGCGUGGGUGAUGAAGGCCUUCGGGUUGUAAAGCCCUGUGGGGAGAGACGAAUAAGUAGAGCCUAAUACGUUCUAUGAUGACGGUAUCUCCUUAGCAAGCACCGGCUAACUCUGUGCCAGCAGCCGCGGUAAGACAGAGGGUGCAAACGUUGUUCGGAAUUACUGGGCGUAAAGCGCAUGUAGGCGGCCAAGCAGGUCGGAUGUGAAAUCCCUCGGCUCAACCAAGGAAGUGCAUUCGAAACCGCAUGGCUCGAGUCCCGGAGAGGAAGGUGGAAUUCUCGGUGUAGAGGUGAAAUUCGUAGAUAUCGAGAGGAACACCGGUGGCGAAAGCGGCCUUCUGGACGAGGACUGACGCUGAGAUGCGAAAGCGUGGGGAGCAAAC
rnacentral:rRNA from 1 species